GAUGAACGCUGGCGGCGUGCCUAAUACAUGCAAGUCGAGCGAACGGACGAGAAGCUUGCUUCUCUGAUGUUAGCGGCGGACGGGUGAGUAACACGCGGAUAACCUACCUAUAAGACUGGGAUAACUUCGGGAAACCGGAGCUAAUACCGGAUAAUAUUAUGAACCGCAUGGUUCAAAAGUGAAAGACGGUCUUGCUGUCACUUAUAGAUGGAUCCGCGCUGCAUUAGCUAGUUGGUAAGGUAACGGCUUACCAAGGCAACGAUGCAUAGCCGACCUGAGAGGGUGAUCGGCCACACUGGAACUGAGACACGGUCCAGACUCCUACGGGAGGCAGCAGUAGGGAAUCUUCCGCAAUGGGCGAAAGCCUGACGGAGCAACGCCGCGUGAGUGAUGAAGGUCUUCGGAUCGUAAAACUCUGUUAUUAGGGAAGAACAUAUGUGUAAGUAACUGUGCACAUCUUGACGGUACCUAAUCAGAAAGCCACGGCUAACUACGUG
rnacentral:rRNA from 1 species